GUGAUUUUGAGUUUGGUGGUGAUUUUGGAGCUUUCCGCAGCUUCAGUUGAAAUGUCAGUUGAUUGGCCACUGAACAAUAACCGUUUCAAAGCCGUAGCAUGAGAAUGGCGACGCUCUAAAACUGACUUUAAUUUCAUUUUAUGAAAUAAUAAAAUUACUUUGCUCGUC